CGCUAGCGGCAGGCCUAACACAUGCAAGUCGAACGGUAACAGAGAAGAGCUUGCUCUUUUGCUGACGAGUGGCGCACGGGUGCGUAACGCGUAUACAAUCUGCCUUUUACAGGGGGAUAGCCUUUAGAAAUGAAGAUUAAUAUCCCAUAGUAAGUAGUUUUGGCAUCAAAGCAACUUUAAAGCUUCGGCGGUAAAAGAUGAGUAUGCGUUCUAUUAGCUAGAUGGUGUGGUAACGGCACACCAUGGCGACGAUAGAUAGGGGCCCUGAGAGGGGGAUCCCCCACACUGGUACUGAGACACGGACCAGACUCCUACGGGAGGCAGCAGUGAGGAAUAUUGGACAAUGGGCGAGAGCCUGAUCCAGCCAUGCCGCGUGCAGGAAGACUGCCCUAUGGGUUGUAAACUGCUUUUAUACAGGAAGAAACCUUUUCACGUGUGAAAAGCUGACGGUACUGUAAGAAUAAGGAUCGGCUAACUCCGUGCCAGCAGCCGCGGUAAUACGGAGGAUCCAAGCGUUAUCCGGAAUCAUUGGGUUUAAAGGGUCCGUAGGUGGAUAAUUAAGUCAGGGGUGAAAGUUUGCAGCUUAACUGUAAAAUUGCCUUUGAUACUGGUUAUCUUGAAUUAUUGUGAAGUGGUUAGAAUAUGUAGUGUAGCGGUGAAAUGCAUAGAUAUUACAUAGAAUACCAAUUGCGAAGGCAGAUCACUAACAAUAUAUUGACACUGAUGGACGAAAGCGUGGGGAGCGAACAGGAUUAGAUACCCUGGUAGUCCACGCCGUAAACGAUGGUCACUAGCUGUUCGGACUUCGGUUUGAGUGGCUAAGAGAAAUUGAUAA
rnacentral:rRNA from 1 species